UCUCCACGUUUCUCCCUUGCAGGAGAUUCCGUGGACGCAGAGCGAGGCAUAUGAUUCUUCUAUGGGGGAUGUAACGAAGAGCUUGAAGCUCUGGAUGACAUGUAUUUCCUCGACACAGAGAUGCUGAGGGAGAAAGAUCCAUCAGAACCAAAGCUAUCCAUGCGUAAGGAACUUAAGAGAAGGCGGCAAGAGUAUCGUGCCACGCCAUUCGUGCUAGGCAAGCAACGGGAUGCGGACAAGAGCUUGGUUUCAUCUCACGGAGAGUUUCAAGCUCA